rnacentral:lncRNA from 1 species
UCAAAGCAUGUGCUGAGUUUAGGUGGUCUGCUCCUAGAGCUUCUCUCAGAAGCCCUAGGUUUGAAUUCUAAGAUCCUUAAGAGCAAGGAUUGCUUAAAGUCUUUGCUCAUGCUCGGGCAUUAUUACCCUCCGUGUCCACAACCAGACCUAACUUUAGGGGCAAAUAAACACUCAGACAACUCUUUCCUCACGGUUUUGCUUCAAGAUGACAACAUUGGUGGUCUUCAAGUUCUUCAUCAAGACUCUUGGGUUGAUGUCGCUCCUCUUCCUGGAGCUCUCGUCAUUAACAUCGGGGAUUACUUGCAGGUAAAAAAUAAGAAUCUGAAACAGAUAUGUAAAUACCUUAAAUCUUAAUGCGUUUUGUUUAUAUAUGUUGAAUUUGAAUUUGCAGCUGAUGACGAACGAUAAGUUUGUAAGUUUGGAGCAUAGGGUGCUUGCGAAUAGACAAGGACCAAGGAUUUCGAUAGCAAUCUUUUUCACCUCAAGUAAACGUCCAAAUCCCAACGUUUAUGGACCAAUGAAAGAGCUUGUGUCUGAAGACAACCCUCCUAAAUACAGAGACAUGACCAUACAAGAAUUACACAGAAGGAUACUUUAAGAAAGGUCUCGAUGGAACAUCGCAUCUCUUGAAUUUCAGGAUAUAAAAUUUGUGUGUUUCUUAGCAUCAAUUUAGUCUGUUCUUGGCUCUGCAAUAACUAAACCUACGUACCAAAACUAUAUCUAUAUCUCUCAUAUAUACAAAGAAUAUAUAGAAAGAAUAGCGUGUGAAAAAAAAAAAAAAAAGAAGAAAGAAUAGCGUGUGUGCAUGCGUUCAUAUGUAUUAAUGUAUAUGUGUUGAGCUACUCUGUAUUUGGAUCUCUUACAAUGUUAUAAAUCUAAGAAUUCUCUCCUCAAUUUCAGCACUCAAAUUAACGGUAGUUAAAGUGAAAUCUAGGGCUAUAUGCAUGAUUAAGUAAUUAGUCCAUAAUAAAACAAAAGCAGAGAAGAAAAAGUUAAUUACGACAAGUCGUUAAAGUGAGAGUGAGAGAAAGAGAGAGACAACAUUCAUGUGAUCAUCAGUUACAAAGUCUACAAAUUCAGUCCCACACACCAAAGACUAAAACUCCUACCGUCGAUUCUUAGUCGUCCAUUUUUGUCUUCACUUUGCUAUUUCUUCUUCUAAGUAGAAAUCUUGUGAAAAAGAAAGCAUAAAGAAUGGGGACCAAAAUCUCGAUCGAGUUCGAUCCUUAUAUCGAACGAAAGGCUUUCGACGAGACAAAAGUAGGAGUAAAAGGACUCUGUUUUACUUGAACAGAGAGUGAUUUGAUUUCGAACAUCAUUGAUCGACUCAGGGAUGCUAUCAUGCUAAUAUGCUAUGAUCGAAUGCUCAAAGCAUGUGAUGAGUUUAGGAUGUUUGCUCUUUGAGCUUCUCUCAGAAGCACUAGGUUCGAAAUCUGAUAUACUUAAGAGCAUGGAUUGCUUGAAGACUUUGGUUAUGAUCUGCCAUAAUUACCCACCGUGUCCACAAUCAGACCUAACUUUGGGGAUAAGUAAACACUCAGACAGCUCUUUCCUCACGGUUCUUCUUCAAGACAACAUCGGUGGUCUUCAAAUUCUUCAUCAAGACUCUUUGGUCUGAAGAAAACUGGCUAUGCAAAAAGUAAACCAAUGAAUCAAAAAUAAGAAAGCAUAGUCUAUUUCUGUGUGUAUGUGUUGAGCUACUCGGUGUUUGGGUCUUUUUUACUUUAGCCAUACGUAUCAGUCUAUAAGUGAAUGCUUUGAAUUAAUUUGAUCUAAAGAUUCAAAACUUUAUUUAAUCCAUACAUGGACGGUACCGUUAUGGUUCGGAAUGGUUGACCAAGUCCAAACUGUCGUUAAAAUGUUGAACAAUGAGUUGACAUAAAAAAAAAUCUCGUUCCACACAAAAUGGUAGAUGUAACUAUGUAAGUAGUCUAAAAACACUCGUAAUGAAAUGAUCUCUUCAAUUCCAGUAACCAAAUUUCCGGUAAUUAAAGCUUAAUCUUGCAUAAUUGAAAUUUCACCAAUAGUUUUAUGGAGUAUUUCAUAUUUAAAAAACCUUAUGUUUCGUAUCAUGCAAAUUAAACCACAGACGCUCUCAGGGUUGAUUUUCUGAUGGAGACCGAAACACACUGUGUCACUAACCUAUAAACGACAUGGUGCCUUCUACACAUAAAUCUCGAGAAAAGGCUGCAACAAAAAAAGGAAAAAAAAAAAAAACUGGUAGAAAUUUCACCUAAAAUAUCCCAAGGAAAAAAAAGGUAUUCCAAAACCCAAAAUUUUAAAUACACCUCAUUUUUCGGGGUUUUUGGUUGAAAUCUCAAACUUCCAGGUUUUUUUUCGCAAAUUUUCCCACCACACACUAAUGACCUAACUUCAACCGGCGGUUCUCAAUCUUUCCUUUAUUAUCCUCAUUUUGCUUUAUCUUCUUCAAAGCCGAGAUCUUGUAAGAAGAAAAAAAGAACAAAAAAAAAGAUGACCAAAAACUCGAACGAACUCGAUCCUUAUAUCGAGCGCAAAGCUUUCGACGAGACAAAAGGAGGAGUAAAAGGCCUCGUCGACGCUAAAAUCACUGAAGUUCCUCGAAUCUUCCACAUACCUCAAGAUACCUUAACAGACAAGAAACCAUCUGCCUCUGUAUUAGACCUAGAGAUCCCUACCAUCGACUUUGCAAGCGUUCACGUGGACACGGCAUCACGUGAAGCCGUCGUAGAGAAAGUCAAAUACGCGGCGGAGAAGUGGGGAUUCUUCCAGGUGGUCAAUCAUGGUGUUCCUUUAAACGUUCUUGAAGAGAUCAAAGAUGGAGUUCGCAGGUUUCACGAGGAAGAUCCUGAGGUCAAGAAACGAUACUUCUCGCGUGAUAUCGCCAAUAAAAAUUUUGUCUACAACAGUAAUUUCGAUCUAUACAGUCCUUCGCCGUCUGUUAACUGGAGAGAUACUUUCCAGUGUUACAUAGCUCCAGAUCCUCCAACUCCUGAGGAACUCCCAGUGACUUGCAGGUGACGGUAACAUACUUAACAUCUUUUUCUUCACUUAAAUAUAUUUGGAGGUCGCAAUUCACAAACCUAAUCAUCAAUCAGAGCUGCAAACUGCAAUGGCCAUAUAAAUUUCUUAGAGGCUAAGAAGGAUAUGCAUAAGUUUGUAAAGUAUUAUCAAUCGAUUUGAACGUCUAAACUUUGAAAAGAGAGUGAUUGAUUUCUAACAUCAUUGAUUGACUCAGGGAUGCUAUGUUCGAAUACUCAAAGCAUGUGCUGAGUUUAGGUGGUCUGCUCUUAGAGCUUCUCUCAGAAGCCCUAGGUUUGAAUUCUGAGAUCCUUAAGAGCAUGGAUUGCUUAAAGAAUUUGCUCAUGGUCUGCCAUUAUUACCCUCCGUGUCCACAACCAGACCUAACUUUGGGGAUAAGUAAACACUCAGACACCUCUUUCCUCACGGUUCUUCUUCAAGACAACAUCGGUGGUCUUCAAGUUCUUCAUCAAGACUCUUGGGUAGAUGUCGCUCCUCUUCCUGGAGCUCUCAUCAUCAACAUCGGAGAUUUCUUGCAG